rnacentral:rRNA from 1 species
AGCAGAAACAGUUGGGAAGCUGUUCCAAAGAGGGUGACAGGCCCGUAUGCGAAAUCUUGUACUCUCUAAUCAGGAUCCUGAGUACGGCCCAGCACGUGAAAUUGGGUCGGAAUCUGGGAGGACCAUCUCCCAAGGCUAAAUACUAACUAGUGACCGAUAGCGAACAAGUACCGUGAGGGAAAGGUGAAAAGAACCCCGGAAGGGGAGUGAAAUAGUUCUUGAAACCGUGUGCUUACAAGAAGUUCGAGGCCGUUAAUGGCUGAGAGCGUGCUUUUUGUAGAAUGAACCGGAGAGUUACGAUUGCGUGCAAGGUUAAGGUGCAAAGACUGGAGCCGUAGCGAAAGCGAGUCUUAAUAGGGCGAAUCAGUACGUAGUUGUAGACCCGAAACCGAGUGACCUAUCCAUGGUCAGGUUGAAGGUGGGGUAAUACCUACUGGAGGACCGAACAAGUGGGUGUUAAAAAACCCUUUGAUGAACUGUGGAUAGCGGUGAAAUUCCAAUCGAACUCGGAGAUAGCUGGUUCUAUCCGAAAUACAUUUAGGUGUAGCCUUGCAAUUAGCUUACUGGAGGUAGAGCACUAUUUGGUCUAGGGGCCCUUCAAGGGUUACCAAAAUCAGAUAAACUCCGAAUGCCAGCUAAGUAUGUGCAGGAGUCAGACGGUGAGUGAUAAGAUCCAUCGUCAAAAGGGGAACAGCCCAGAUCACCAGUUAAGGUCCCUAAAUAUAUGCUAAGUGGAAAACGUUGUGAAGGUGCAUAGACAACUAGGAGGUUGGCUCAGAAGCAGCCACCCUUUAAAGAGUGCGUAAUAGCUCACUAGUCGAGUGCUCUUGCGCGGAUAAUGUACCGGGGCUAAGCAUAUUACCGAAACUGUGGAUGCGUAAGCAUGGUAGGAUAGCGUAAUUAACGCGAUGAAGGAUGACCGUAAGGACAUGUUGGAGCGUUAACUAGUGAGAAUUCCGGUAUGAGUAGCGAAAGAUAGGUGAGAAUCCUAUCCACCGAAUGAGUAAGGUUUCCCCCGGAAGGCUCGUCCGCGGGGGGUUAGUCGGGACCUAAGGCGAGGCUGAAAAGCGUAGUCGAUGGACAACAGGUUGAUAUUCCUGUACCGAUAUUUAAUUGCCGAAGGAAGGACGCAGAAGGAUAACACAGGCCACUAUUGGAUGUGGUUUUAAACAGUUAGUCUUCAUAAGAGUCAAAUGCUUUUAUGUUUAAGGAUAAGCUGUGAAUGUACCAAGUUUACUUGGAAAUUGUGUGAUUUCACGCUGCUGAAAAAAGUUUCGUAGGAAGAAAAUAUUGCCCGUACCGCAAACCGACACAGGUACUCAAGUGGAGAACACUAAGGUGAGCGAGUGAACUAUUGUUAAGGAACUCUGCAAAAUGAGUCCGUAACUUCGGAAGAAGGACUGCUGGUUUUAUACCAGCCGCAGCAAAUAGGCCCAAACAACUGUUUAUCAAAAACACAGGUUUCUGCAAAAUCGUAAGAUGAAGUAUAGGGGCUGACGCCUGCCC